GUUGUGUUUGCCCGUUCCCCUCCUCCUCGUUUCCCCUUCUCAUUUCGGAGCAGCCAUGGUGAUUUGGAGCUCCCCUCGCCGCCUGAUUCAGUAUUUCUCACCUGAGGAUGGUUUUCUGCUAUUGGAAAGCCAUAUGUUGAGGAAAUCAACUUCGUCUCAUUGAGGUCUGUUCUUUCUUCCAGAUUUGUUCAGGCAGGAAAGAGACGAGAGACGACAGGAGGUGUUUACCUGUGAUUUUUUUGGUUCUCCAGCCAUGUUUGUGUCCUAGAUCAUGGAGGAAUCGCCCUCUCUGGGGGUAAAUUUAGCACUUUCUCAGUGGAAUUGCAGUGUAAUUCUUUUGUGUGUUUUAAGUGGAAUUACAGUGUACUUUUAGUGGAAUUACAGUGCAUUUUCAGUGGUUUUACAUUGGAAUGACAGUGGAAUUUACACUGUAAAUCCGUGUGGGUUUACAGUGUAUUUUUAGCGGCUUUUUGCUCUGUAGUUGCAAGUGGCAUUUUUAGUGGAAUUAUUGUGCAUUUUCCGUGGUUUUUACUGUAAUUAUUAGUGGAAUCUACAUUGUAAGUCUUAGUGGGUUUACA